rnacentral:rRNA from 1 species
ACUGUGGGGACACAGAAGGACAACACAUCCCGGGAAUGGGAAUACCGGGGCAAGCGAGGUAGGAGUACGGUUGGCAAAUCCGCCGUGCAAUCCGAAGACGUGACGCGCAGCGAACUAAAGUAGCGAAGUGUGUGAUUCCGGCUGUCAAGAAAAGCCGCUAUUGUGUGAUACAUGCCCGUACCGUAAACCGACACAGGUAGAUGAGGAGAGAAUCCUAAGGCCGGCGGGAGAAGCAUUGUUAAGGAACUCGGCAAAAUGACCCCGUAACUUCGGGAGAAGGGGUGCCACAGAGAUGUGGCCGCAGAGAAUAGGCUCAAGCAACUGUUUAGCAAAAACACAGGUCUAUGCAAAACCGUAAGGUGAGGUAUAUGGGCUGACGCCUGCCCGGUGCUGGAAGGUUAAGAGGAGAGGUUAGCGCAAGCGAAGCUUUGAAUUUAAGCCCCAGUAAACGGCGGCCGUAACUAUAACGGUCCUAAGGUAGCGAAAUUCCUUGUCGGGUAAGUUCCGACCCGCACGAAAGGCGUAAUGAUUUGAGCGCUGUCUCAACAAUGCACCCGGUGAAAUUGAAAUACCAGUGAAGAUGCUGGUUACCUGCGCCAGGACGGAAAGACCCCAUGGAGCUUUACUCCAGUUUGAUACUGGGAUUCGGUAUUGCAUGUACAGGAUAGGUGGGAGGCUUUGAAACAUGGACGCCAGUCUGUGUGGAGCCAAUGUUGGGAUACCACCCUUGCGAUAUUGGGUUUCUAACCUGCGCCCGUGACCCGGGCGGGGGACAAUGUCAGGCGGGGAGUUUGACUGGGGCGGUCGCCUCCGAAAGGGUAUCGGAGGCGCUCAAAGGUUCCCUCAGGAUGGUUGGAAACCAUCCAAAGAGUGCAAAGGCAUAAGGGAGCUUGACUGCGACACCGACGGGUGGAGCAGGUACGAAAGUAGGACUUAGUGAUCCGGUGGUAUGAAAGUGGGAUUGCCAUCGCUCAACGGAUAAAAGCUACCCUGGGGAUAACAGGCUUAUCACUCCCAAGAGUUCACAUCGACGGAGUGGUUUGGCACCUCGAUGUCGGCUCAUCGCAUCCUGGGGCUGUAGCAGGUCCCAAGGGUUGGGCUGUUCGCCCAUUAAAGCGGUACGCGAGCUGGGUUCAGAACGUCGUGAGACAGUUCGGUCCCUAUCCGGCGCGGGCGUAGGAUAUCUGAGAGGAGCUGUCCUUAGUACGAGAGGACCGGGAUGGACAGACCGCUGGUGUACCUGUUGGCCUACCAAGGCCAUGGCAGGGUAGCCAAGUCUGGACGGGAUAAACGCUGAAGGCAUCUAAGCGUGAAGCCCCCCUCAAGAUGAGAUAUCCCAUCGCGAAAGCGAGUAAGACCCCUUGAAGACGACGAGGUAGAUAGGUUAGAGGUGGAAGUGCAGUAAUGUACGGAGCUGACUAAUACUAAUCGGUCGAGGGCUUAUCCA